UCUCUCUCUCUCUCUCUCUCUUCCUCCAGAUCUACUUUCUCUCUCUGUGUCUACUUUUCUCUCUCUCUUCAAACCCCCGACCUCCGCCGUCUCCAUUGAGAAAGAGAGCACAUUGUGAGUUAAAUCAGUGGGGGAAGUGCGAGUCAGAGAUCGGGGUGUAAUCAUAGCCGUAAAAGGAGGAUGAGUAAAGGAGAGAGAAGACUAGGGUGGCGAUGGCAAUGCCAACGAGGAUGAAAAUGAGUCAUUGCUCUCAAAGCAUGUAGCGAAUCGAAUGAAUCACAAAGACCCAUGGCUUGUGCAACUUCGACGGGACGAGUUGUUCAUGGCAGAGAGAUAAUGGUUCAGUUCGCUAAGUAUGGGCCGAAAUGUUGAGAAAAUGAAAUGAAGUGGUCGUCUUCAAAAAUAGUCCCAUUAUAUGGCAUUUGGGUCAAAGAAGUUGGCGAACAUUUGGGAGAUGUGAUAUGAUGAUGAGAGGCAUAGUCGGAGCCGUUCUUAUGAAAGUGUCUCCCCUGCUCGUCGUACCCCUAAUCCUCGGAGGAGCCCCUCUCCUCGCAGGACACCUCCAUCUAGAGGUGGGAGUCCUGAUGGACGCAAUCACAAAGAAUGCUCACCUACUCUAAAAAGUGUUUCUUUGUGUGGUAGACCUGCUGAUUCUCAGAGCCCUUCCCGACAUUCCAAUGCUGCUGAAUAGGGAGUGAUAUAGUAUGUGAUGAAUCUUCAGCUCGUAUUCUACUCGUCGUGCUGUGUAGUUGAAACUGCUUUGGGGGAGGACAUCUUGAGAUUUUCAAUGUUAUUAUCAAAUCAUUGAAUGCUAGAAUUGAUUGCUCAGGGCUGAUAUAUAAGGUUGACUAUUUUGUUGUACUUGAUGCAUCCUUAAGUUUUGAUGGUACUGUUGCACUCCAGUUGUCAUGGGUUGGCUGCAUUUUUAAUAUUUCUUUGUUCUUUUACCUUGUUUUUAAAUCAUAUUUAAUUCUGUUUGCAUCUUUGUUAAUAUCUAUUCAGAUAACUGACCUUUUUUAGUUGUGAUGGACCGUGUACUGGCCUUCUAUAUUGUGUCUGGGAAAAGUGAAUGUGGUUGACUUGCUGAUGAUGUAGCAGCUGUUGAUGCUGUGUUUAUUUUUCGGUUGGUUGAUAUCGUUCUUGCUGCUUGCGAAGUACAUUGUUUUUUACAAAUUUUCUCUGAUGAUGUCAUCAUUGGCAGUUUAGCUGAUGCAGUUAAACUGUUGGACCAGAUAUAUCAUAGUGCCGAUUUUAAUAUGAACCUGCUUGAGCUGGAUAUUGUAGCAUGAGGUUGGGCAUGGUGACAUAGUUACAUACUUUUUACCAAUGUUUGGUUAGACUUCCCCUCAUUUAUUCUUGGCUAUUAGACUGUUACCAAUUGAUGUGGCAUGUAUCAAUGUGUUUUCGUACAUGCACCGAUGACUAUGGUUUUGAGCUGAUACCAGUUGCAUAUUGUGACAGCACAUGAGGUCGUGAAUGUAUAUGUGAAGUGAUAGCCGAUAUCUUCAUACAUCGGUUGUUGCUGCACUUCUUGCUGAUAGCUUUUGAACCUGGUCUUACCAUUUUUCGUGUUGAUAAGUGAUGCUUGGUUUGGUAGCUGUUGUGCUCCAGUGGCUGUGCUUUGUUUCAUUGCCUUCCAGUACAUCUUGCUGACGCUGAAUUUUAAGUUUUGGUUUCUUAGUCCAUUGCAUUGCUCUUGAAGGUAUUUUUUUGCAGUCAUCCAAUAUUUUGUCAACUUUGUUGCCUGUUUCAUGCAUAUUUGGAUUAUGUAUCUGUUUAUUUUUUAAUUGCAUUUUGUUGAAUCUGAUAACACUUCAAUUUGUGAGGAUGCUUUUUAGCUAUGGCAAUUUUAUAUCAUUACAAUAAUGAUUAACUUAUCCAAUAAAAUAUUCAGCAAGGCUCAUGGUUGCCUUUGUAGUGAAGGUUGAAAUGCUGAAGUUUUUCACUGGGUUAAACCUUAACAACUCUCUAUAGCCAUUGUUUUAUUGGCUUUCGGGCUAGCAUUAUUGUCUGUGCUUUCCUCCCCUUUCAUCCUAGUAGCUGUUGACAUGAAAACUGGUGUUCAAUUAUUAUUAUUUUUCACUUGGGUAAUACUUGUUGCAGGGGAAAUCAUUUCCGGGGGAGAUAUCACCAAAAAAUGUUUGUGUUUACGCGAGGAACUCCUAUUAAGGGGGAGGGAAAGGGUUAUGACCAUUUAUGAGUGAAUUUACUAAAAUAGCUUUGUGGACUUCUAUCAACCAGCUGUCUAUUUGGCCGGUCAUCUAUCAAUAUUUUGUAG